ensembl:lncRNA
CCUCUAACUUCACAUGUAUGGGAGUUUGCAUUCCUAAAUUCGACAUUUUCCCAAAAGUUCAAACGCACUGGCCCCGCAGACAUCAUCUCUGGGCCAAGAUUUAAAAGGUUCCGCAAUCGCCACCCCUGUCCACCUGUUUCAGCUAUUCCACUGCUCUCCUCAAACCCCCUUCCUCAAAAUCUGCAAUUUUCCUCUGCUCUUCCUUCAUAUAACUAUUUAGCUAAUGAUACUCUGACCUACUGCAUGUGUAAUAUUACUCCCCCUCCACCUGUUCCAACCCUGCACUGCCUUGUUUCCACAGUGUGCAAGUUAUUAAUCAACUGCUACGUGUUCACAGUGUGCAAGUUAUUAAUCAACUGCUACGUGUUCACAGUGUGCAAGUUAUUAAUCAACUGCUACGUGUUCACAGUGUGCAAGUUAUUAACAACUGCUAUGUGUUCACAGUGUGCAGGUUAUUAACAACUGCUAUGUGUUCACAGUGUGCAGGUUAUUAACAACUGCUACGUGUUCACAGUGUGCAGGUUAUUAACAACUGCUACGUGUUCACAGUGUACAGGUUAUUAACAACUGCUACGUGUUCACAGUGUGCAGGUUAUUAACAACUGCUAUGUGUUCACAGUGUGCAGGUUAUUAACAACUGCUAUGUGUUCACAGUGUACAGGUUAUUAACAACUGCUAUGUGUCCACAGUGUACAGGUUAUUAAUCAACUGCUAUGUGUUCACAGUGUACAGGUUAUUAAUCAACUGUUAUGUGUUCACAGUGUGCAGGUUAUUAAUCAACUGUUAUGUGUUCACAGUGUACAGGUUAUUAAUCAACUGUUAUGUGUUCACAGUGUACAGGUUAUUAAUCAACUGUUAUGUGUUCACAGUGUAUAUGUUAUUAAUCAACUGUUAUGUGUUCACAGUGUGCAGGUUAUUAACAACUGCUAUGUGUUCACAGUGUACAGGUUAUUAACAACUGCUAUGUGUCCACAGUGUACAGGUUAUUAAUCAACUGCUAUGUGUUCACAGUGUGCAAGUUAUUAAUCAACUGCUAUGUGUUCACAGUGUGCAAGUUAUUAACAACUGCUACGUGUUCACAGUGUGCAAGUUAUUAAUCAACUGCUACGUGUUCACAGUGUACAGGUUAUUAAUCAACUGCUAUGUGUCCACAGUGUACAGGUUAUUAAUCAACUGCUGUGUUCACAGUUUGCAGGUUAAUAAUCAACUACUAUAUGUUCAGUGUGCAGGUUAUUAACAACUGCUAUGUGUUCACAGUGUAUAUGUUAUUAAUCAACUGCUAUGUGUUCACAGUAUGCAGGUUAUUAAUCAACUGCUGUGUCCACAGUGUGCAGGUUAUUAAUCAACUGCUGUGUUCACAGUUUGCAGGUUAUUAAUCAACUGCUAUGUGUUCACAGUGUGCAGGUUAUUAACAACUGCUAUGUGUUCACAGUGUAUACGUUAUUAAUCAACUGUUAUGUGUUCACAGUGUGCAGGUUAUUAAUCAACUGUUAUGUGUUCACAGUGUACAGGUUAUUAAUCAACUGUUAUGUGUCCACAGUGUGCAGGUUAUUAAUCAAGUGCUGUGUUCACAGUUUGCAGGUUAUUAAUCAACUGUUAUGUGUUCACAGUGUACAGGUUAUUAAUCAACU